rnacentral:rRNA from 1 species
AUGUUGGCCGGGCGACGGUUGUCCCGGUUUAAGCGUGUAGGUGUGUGUUCCAGGUAAAUCCGGUUCACUUUAACACUGAGGCGUGAUGACGAGGCACUACGGUGCUGAAGCAACAAAUGCCCUGCUUCCAGGAAAAGCCUCUAAGCAUCAGGUAACAUCAAAUCGUACCCCAAACCGACACAGGUGGUCAGGUAGAGAAUACCAAGGCGCUUGAGAGAACUCGGGUGAAGGAACUAGGCAAAAUGGUGCCGUAACUUCGGGAGAAGGCACGCUGACACGUAGGUGAAGUGAUUUACUCAUGGAGCUGAAGUCAGUCGAAGAUACCAGCUGGCUGCAACUGUUUAUUAAAAACACAGCACUGUGCAAACACGAAAGUGGACGUAUACGGUGUGACGCCUGCCCGGUGCCGGAAGGUUAAUUGAUGGGGUCAGCGCAAGCGAAGCUCCUGAUCGAAGCCCCGGUAAACGGCGGCCGUAACUAUAACGGUCCUAAGGUAGCGAAAUUCCUUGUCGGGUAAGUUCCGACCUGCACGAAUGGCGUAAUGAUGGCCAGGCUGUCUCCACCCGAGACUCAGUGAAAUUGAACUCGCUGUGAAGAUGCAGUGUACCCGCGGCAAGACGGAAAGACCCCGUGAACCUUUACUAUAGCUUGACACUGAACAUUGAGCCUUGAUGUGUAGGAUAGGUGGGAGGCUUUGAAGUGUGGACGCCAGUCUGCAUGGAGCCGGCCUUGAAAUACCACCCUUUAAUGUUUGAUGUUCUAACGUGGACCCGUGAUCCGGGUUGCGGACAGUGUCUGGUGGGUAGUUUGACUGGGGCGGUCUCCUCCUAAAGAGUAACGGAGGAGCACGAAGGUUGGCUAAUCCUGGUCGGACAUCAGGAGGUUAGUGCAAUGGCAUAAGCCAGCUUGACUGCGAGCGUGACGGCGCGAGCAGGUGCGAAAGCAGGUCAUAGUGAUCCGGUGGUUCUGAAUGGAAGGGCCAUCGCUCAACGGAUAAAAGGUACUCCGGGGAUAACAGGCUGAUACCGCCCAAGAGUUCAUAUCGACGGCGGUGUUUGGCACCUCGAUGUCGGCUCAUCACAUCCUGGGGCUGAAGUAGGUCCCAAGGGUAUGGCUGUUCGCCAUUUAAAGUGGUACGCGAGCUGGGUUUAGAACGUCGUGAGACAGUUCGGUCCCUAUCUGCCGUGGGCGCUGGAGAACUGAGGGGGGCUGCUCCUAGUACGAGAGGACCGGAGUGGACGCAUCACUGGUGUUCGGGUUGUCAUGCCAAUGGCACUGCCCGGUAGCUAAAUGCGGAAGAGAUAAGUGCUGAAAGCAUCUAAGCACGAAACUUGCCCCGAGAUGAGUUCUCCCUGAGACUUUAGGUCUCCUGAAGGAACGUUGAAGACGACGACGUUGAUAGGCCGGGUGUGUAAGCGCAGCGAUGCGUUGAGCUAACCGGUACUAAUGAACCGUGAGGCUUAACCUUACA